rnacentral:lncRNA from 1 species
CUCUCUUUUCAUUCAAUGGGGUGUUCAUAUGACGUGUAGGGGUGCCGCGCAUUCAUCCUUAAUCAGAAAUCAAAACUUACUUUUCUGCAAAAUCCUAGAUCCUAAAAUCCUAGGAUUUAUUUUACAUGCUUUGUUUAUGAACCCAAACUUAAUUAAUGAAUUAAGCUUAUGAAAUUAAGUUAGGUCUAAAAUUAAAAAUUUUAGAUCUAAGAUAUUUUCAUAAAAUUGGAUUCGGACUUGGGUAGCUCAAUUAGGUCUAGCGGUUGAUCAAACCGAAUCAAGAGUUGGUUAGGUGGGAUCAUGAAAGCUAAUAAUUGACCAGCCUAAUAGGAUUAAGUUUGGGUCAAGGUCGAAUCAUAUCUAGAUAUGACUCGAUCAUGUUAAGACCUAAUUUGGCUCAGAGGUUACAGUCUGGAUUGUAGGCUAAUCCAAUUAGUUCUGGUUCGAUAAUUUGGUGUCUAAGGUAAGUUCGGCAGAUGCGACCGAUUGAUUUUUAAUUGGGAGCUACUCGACUCGAAUGCAUUCUUGUCGAGUUAAUGGCAUAUCCCUUCCACCGGUCUCACUUAUCUGGCCAUAUAUGUCGACCCAGUUUUGAUUUGAGGUGGCUAAGAAUUCGAGCUAACCCAUGCCACUAGAUUAGUCAUAAUUGUUAUGACUAUAUCAAGUCAAGUUUAAAGAGACCUAAAUCAAAUCUCCCUAAGAAAAUAUUAAGUCUAGGUCUUCCACCAUUAUGGAUGUGCGGGCUCUUCCCGG